UUUUAGAGUUUUUUGUCAUGGCUCAGGAUGAACGCAGGCGGCGUGCCUAAUACAUGCAAGUCGAGCGAAUGGAUUAAGAGCUUGCUCUUAUGAAGUUAGCGGCGGACGGGUGAGUAACACGUGGGUAACCUGCCCAUAAGACUGGGAUAACUCCGGGAAACCGGGGCUAAUACCGGAUAACAUUAUGAACUGCAUGGUUCGAAAUUGAAAGGCGGCUUGGGCUGUCACUUAUGGAUGGACCCGCGUCGCAUUAGCUAGUUGGUGAGGUAACGGCUCACCAAGGCAACGAUGCGUAGCCGACCAGAGAGGGUGAUCGGCCACACUGGGACUGAGACACGGCCCAGACUCCUACGGGAGGCAGCAGUAGGGAAUCUUCCGCAUACUGGACGACAAUGUCAUGAACGGAUGCAAGCGGCCAGCCGUGACGUGAUCGAAGAGCUUAUCGGGGUGCGUAAAACGUUCUGUUGUUAGGGAAGAACAAGUGCUAGUGAAUAAGCUGGCACCUGAGCGGACUAACCGAAGACCGAAUGCGACGCCCGAUCGG
rnacentral:rRNA from 1 species